UACAUUCUCUCUGCUCCAAAAGUUAGCCGUUGAUAACUAUAUUCCCUCCAAAUUUAAACUUGUUUUAUUUUGUAUCAAAUCCCACACAUACUUUUCUUUGUUACGACGAAAACAGUGAGAUUAGCAUAUAGUAGACUACAAAAGCACCUCCAAAAAACAAGAUUCCUCCAUGACACAAAGCAAGCAACGUCUCUUCCUUCCUUCCUUCCUUCCUUCCUUCUAUUAUAUAAACAAAUAUUCUCACAAUUCUGAGAUAACCCUUUUGAAUUUGAAGCCCUUUAGCCAUGUCUGAUAACCAUUUGACCCAACAAACUGACGCCACCGCCCCCGGAAACAAUGGCGUCGGUACCAGAACCUUCCAGCCUCACUGGUGCUACCAGUGCAAUCGGACGGUCAGGAUUGCCCCUUCAUCGAACCCCCCCGAGGUCGUUUGCCCCCGAUGUUUUGGUCAAUUCGUUCGCGAAAUCGACGUCGGAAUUAGGCCUCGACUUUUCAUCGAUUACACCGACUACGAUCCCUCGCCCGAAGCUCGUCUUCUCGAAGCUCUUACUCUCAUGCUGGACCCCCCGAUUGACCGGCGCUUCAAUUCUGGUCUCUACGACCAAGACGAGGCCCAAUAUGGUGGCUUGGUUCCGUGGUUACGCCACCGUCACCGCCAUAGUCAAGAAGGAACGGAUACUUGGGACCCUACCGAGUCCACAAAUCAACCGCCGCCUCCACCUAGGCCAGCGGGGAGAAUGCGUCGGCGAAACCAUAGCUUCGAUGGGACAACGAUGAGGGGGGCAACGACUGAGCAUAGUUCAACCGAACCUGUAUCGGAAUCUAGACGCCGAAACCGUCCCCGGCCAUGGAUUAUACUCAGACCCAUCGAUCCUUCAAGCCCAUUCUCUCCGAUUCUUCGGCCAGAAAACCCCGGAGCGCCUAGGGUCAAUCUGAGGGACUACUUUUUCGGGCCUGGGAUGAACGAGUUAAUCGAAGAACUGACCCAGAACGACAGACAGGGGCCGGCUCCGGCACCAGAAUCGGCGAUUAGCUCGAUUCCGACAAUUAAAAUCUUGGAAUCACACCUGAACAAGGAUACGGAAUACUGCCCAGUUUGCAAGGAGGAGUUCCAGUUGGGUGGGGAAGCGAAGGAGAUGCCGUGCAAACAUAUAUACCACUCGGACUGCAUUGUGCCUUGGCUAAGGCUUCACAACUCUUGCCCUGUGUGCCGCCACGAGUUGCCCGUGGAAGUGGCGAAUGUUGGGCGUGGCUCUGCGACAUCAUCGGAAGCAUCUGUGGGAAAUCAGCGGAACAUGAGGUGGAGCCGCUUGGCUACUUUCUGGCCAUUUCGCUCUAGAUAUCGUCAGAUUGUUCCACGGCGUGAUCUCGACCAUUAUAAUCAUCAUCACACUCACACUUCUAGACCAUCGGGAUUUUAACUCUGUUAAACUUACUGUGGGAUCGUUGGGGGAGUGCAAUGUAAAUUUACAGUGAAUUACUUUGGGACUAUAGACGUUUCAUAAGUAUCUGUUGAUGUAAAGAUACAAUUGUAUGCGUAAUAAUAUUAAUAAUAACAGUUCACACUUCUCUAUCAACUACACCGCCAAAAGAUGGCCUUCGCAACUAUUCUGAGC